rnacentral:rRNA from 1 species
GAUGAACGCUGGCGGCGUGCCUAAUACAUGCAAGUCGAGCGAACGGACGAGAAGCUUGCUUUUCUGAUGUUAGCGGCGGACGGGUGAGUAACACGUGGAUAACCUACCUAUAAGACUGGGAUAACUUCGGGAAACCGGAGCUAAUACCGGAUAAUAUUUUGAACCACAUGGUUCAAAAGUGAAAGACGGUCUUGCUGUCACUUAUAGAUGGAUCCGCGCUGCAUUAGCUAGUUGGUAAGGUAACGGCUUACCAAGGCAACGAUGCAUAGCCGACCUGAGAGGGUGAUCGGCCACACUGGAACUGAGACACGGUCCAGACUCCUACGGGGGGCAGCAGUAGGGAAUCUUCCGCAAUGGGCGAAAGCCUGACGGAGCAACGCCGCGUGAGUGAUGAAGGUCUUCGGAUCGUAAAACUCUGUUAUUAGGGAAGAACAUAUGUGUAAGUAACUGUGCUCAUCUUGACGGUACCUAAUCAGAAAGCCACGGCUAACUACGUG